CUUGCCCCUAAGGGUGUUACAGGUGUUCAUCAGCAGAUGACAGAGAAGAGAAAGGUUAUGUCUAUGCUCGGAGCUCUGACGUGUGGACAUCUGAGUGAUCAGUAGCCUAAUAUU
ensembl:snoRNA LOC120094512 small nucleolar RNA SNORA17